rnacentral:lncRNA from 1 species
CGUGUCAUUGAGGAUGGCUUCUGUCUUCCCCCAGGGGGAGAUGACUGCCUUCUGAGAGGCUGGGACACUAGGAUGCUGGGCAAGCCUGUCUUCACUAGCAAAAGGUACCUGGCUCCAGGGUCAGAGGAAGCUUGGGUGUGUCCUCUCCGUGCUCUCGUCUUGAGAGAUUCACAUGUACUGGGCUGUCCCCCUUUGCCUACAGACACUCCAUGGGCGUGUGCAGCAUCCAGAGCAGCCCCCAUCGGGAGCACAUCCUGGCUACCGGAAGGUGAGGCCCUGGAGCAGGUUUGCUGGUCUGCAUCUCUCAGCUCCUCUCCACAGAGCUCAAAACUCAGCCCAUAGCUCUCCACCGACCCACAGUUCAGGUAUCUGGGUCCAGAAAGUGGGGCUCAGAUAAGUGGGACAGGCAGGUUGCUCAGGACUUGGACUAGCACUGGGGAGGCCGAGAUGGGUGGAUUCUUUAAGUUUGUGGCCAGCCUGAUCUGUAUAGAGUUGCAGGGCAGCCAAAGCUCUAUCAUGAGACCCUGUCUCAAAAAAAUGUAGUGGGGCAGCUCCUGGAAGGUAUUUGGUGCUACCACAAGGAACGAGGAAAGCAUGGGCUGUCCUGUGUCAGUGAUCGGAUGUUUCCAGCUAUGAUGAGCAUGUUCUGCUGUGGGACACUCGGAAUGUAAGACAACCGUUGGCAGAUGUGCCAGUGCAAGGAGGCGUGUGGCGGCUCAGGUGGCACCCGGUCCACCACCAUCUACUCCUGGCGGCCUGCAUGCACAACGGCUUCAAGAUCCUCAACUGCCAGAAGGCCAUCGAGGAGAAGCAGGACAUAACUGUUCUAACCUCCCACACGAUGCCUAACUCAUUAGUGUAUGGGGCUGACUGGUCCUGGCUUCUUUUCCACUCCGUGAAGUCCACACCUGCCUGGUCCUUGGAUCAAAAUGACGUGGGAGUCAAAGCAGCAGACCACGAUAGCCUGAAGGCUGCACAGCAGCUGCCAGCCCCUUCUCAGGAGCACACAGUGGAUCACCACGGGGAAGGCCCUGCGAGAGCUCACAGCAGAGCGGAACUGAAGGAUCCUCUGCUUCCACUAACAGAGGACAGGAAGAGCAACAGCAAAGGAUCCUGCUCACCCUCAGUCAAGAGGAGUGGUCUUAGCCGCCGCCCUAGUGGACACAACUUUGACAGCAGCCUCCUGGCCACCUGCUCCUUUUAUGACCAUGUUCUCCACCUUUGGAAGUUGGAGACAAAGCAAACCUGAGGCUGCACUCUUUGCAGGGAUACUGGAUGUGAUCUGGGGAGUGCUGGCCAUUGAGAAUGGUCUCUGUGAUGCUGUCGUGGCAGUGAGUGGGAUUUUCUAGCUCUAAUAAAGUGUCUUGGGUAUAUUUUUAUUUUCA